rnacentral:rRNA from 1 species
GUUAUAGGAUCAAGCGAAUAAGUGCAUGUGGUGGAUGCCUUGGCGAUUACAGGCGAUGAAGGACGUGGCAGCCUGCGUAAAGCUUCGGGGAGCUGGCAACAAGCAUUGAUCCGGAGAUGUCCGAAUGGGGAAACCCGGCCCGCAAGGGUCAUCCUGUCCUGAAUAUAUAGGGACAGAGAAGCGAACCUGGCGAACUGAAACAUCUAAGUAGCCAGAGGAAAAGAAAUCAACCGAGAUUCCCAAAGUAGUGGCGAGCGAACUGGGAAGAGCCUGCACGUGAUACCCGUUGACUUAGCAAAACAACCUGGAAAGGUUGGCCAUAGAAGGUGAAAGCCCAGUAUGCGAAAAGACAACGGGAGUACUAAGCGUGCGACAAGUAGGGCGGGACACGAGAAAUCCUGUCUGAAGAUGGGGGGACCAUCCUCCAAGGCUAAAUACUCGUAAUCGACCGAUAGUGAACCAGUACCGUGAGGGAAAGGCGAAAAGAACCCCGGAAGGGGAGUGAAAUAGAACCUGAAACCGCAUGCAUACAAACAGUGGGAGCCUCCUUGUGGGGUGACUGCGUACCUUUUGUAUAAUGGGUCAGCGACUUACAUUCAGUAGCGAGCUUAACCGGAUAGGGGAGGCGUAGCGAAAGCGAGUCUGAUAAGGGCGAUUAGUUGCUGGGUGUAGACCCGAAACCGGAUGAUCUAUCCAUGGCCAGGAUGAAGGUUGGGUAACACCAACUGGAGGUCCGAACCCACUAACGUUGAAAAGUUAGGGGAUGAGCUGUGGAUAGGGGUGAAAGGCUAAACAAAUCCGGAAAUAGCUGGUUCUCUCCGAAAACUAUUUAGGUAGUGCCUCAUGUAUCACUCUCGGGGGUAGAGCACUGUUAUGGCUAGGGGGUCAUUGCGACUUACCAAACCAUGGCAAACUCCGAAUACCGAGAAGUGCGAGCAUGGGAGACAGACAGUGGGUGCUAACGUCCAUUGUCAAGAGGGAAACAACCCAGACCGCCAGCUAAGGUCCCAAAUGACGUGCUAAGUGGAAAACGAGGUGGGAAGGCAUAGACAGCCAGGAUGUUGGCUUAGAAGCAGCCAUCAUUCAAAGAAAGCGUAAUAGCUCACUGGUCGAGUCGUCCUGCGCGGAAGAUGUAACGGGGCUCAAGCACGUAACCGAAGCUGCGGAUAUGUACUUAGUACAUAUGGUAGGAGAGCGUUCUGUAGGCCGUUGAAGGUGUCUUGUAAAGGAUGCUGGAGGUAUCAGAAGUGCGAAUGCUGACAUGAGUAGCGAUAAAGGGAGUGAAAAGCUCCCUCGCCGAAAACCCAAGGUUUCCUACGCAACGUUCAUCGGCGUAGGGUGAGUCGGCCCCUAAGGCGAGGCAGAGAUGCGUAGUCGAUGGGAAACAGGUCAAUAUUCCUGUACCGAUCAUGAAUGCGAUGGGGGGACGGAGAAGGGUAGGUCAGCCAACUGUUGGAAUAGUUGGUUUAAGCGUGUAGACGUGCCGCACAGGCAAAUCCGUGUGGCUUAGUUGAGGCGUGAUGACGAGGAACCACUGGUUCUGAAGUGAUUGAUCCCAUGCUUCCAGGAAAAGCCUCUAAGCUUCAGUUCAUGAUUGACCGUACCGUAAACCGACACAGGUGGGUGGGGUGAGAAUCCUAAGGCGCUUGAGAGAACUCGGGAGAAGGAACUCGGCAAAUUGACACCGUAACUUCGGGAUAAGGUGUGCCCAGAUAACGUGAAAGCCCUGCGGCUGGAGCGGUAAUGGGUUGCAGUGAAAUGGUGGCUGCGACUGUUUAAUAAAAACACAGCACUCUGCAAACACGAAAGUGGACGUAUAGGGUGUGACGCCUGCCCGGUGCUGGAAGAUUAAAUGAUGGGGUGCAAGCUCUUGAUUGAAGUCCCAGUAAACGGCGGCCGUAACUAUAACGGUCCUAAGGUAGCGAAAUUCCUUGUCGGGUAAGUUCCGACCCGCACGAAUGGCGUAACGAUGGCCACACUGUCUCCUCCCGAGACUCAGCGAAGUUGAAAUGUUUGUGAAGAUGCAAUCUCCCCGCGGCUAGACGGAAAGACCCCGUGCACCUUUACUGUAGCUUUGCAUUGGACUUUGAACAGACUUGUGUAGGAUAGGUGGGAGGCUAUGAAGUGGGAACGCCAGUUCUCAUGGAGCCGUCCUUGAAAUACCACCCUGGUGUGUUUGAGGUUCUAACCCAGGUCCGUAAUCCGGAUCGGGGACCGUGCAUGGUAGGCAGUUUGACUGGGGCGGUCUCCUCCCAAAGUGUAACGGAGGAGCUCGAAGGUUCUCUAGGUACGGUCGGAAAUCGUACUGAUAGCGCAAUGGCACAAGAGAGCUUGACUGCGAGACUGACAAGUCGAGCAGGUGCGAAAGCAGGACAUAGUGAUCCGGUGGUUCUGAAUGGAAGGGCCAUCGCUCAACGGAUAAAAGGUACGCCGGGGAUAACAGGCUGAUUCCUCCCAAGAGUUCACAUCGACGGGGGAGUUUGGCACCUCGAUGUCGGCUCAUCACAUCCUGGGGCUGAAGCCGGUCCCAAGGGUAUGGCUGUUCGCCAUUUAAAGUGGUACGUGAGCUGGGUUUAAAACGUCGUGAGACAGUUUGGUCCCUAUCUGCCGUGGGCGUUGGAAGUUUGAGGGGGGCUGCUCCUAGUACGAGAGGACCGGAGUGGACGCAUCUCUGGUGUACCGGUUAUCACGCCAGUGGUAUCGCCGGGUAGCUAAAUGCGGAAGAGAUAAGCGCUGAAAGCAUCUAAGCGCGAAACUUGCCUCAAGAUGAGACUUCCCUGGGACUUCGAGUCCCCUGAAGGGUCGUUCAAGACCAGGACGUUGAUAGGUCGGGUGUGGAAGCGCAGUAAUGCGUUAAGCUAACCGAUACUAAUUGCCCGUGAGGCUUGAUCCUAUAACC